rnacentral:rRNA from 1 species
UACGUAGGUGGCAAGCGUUGUCCGGAUUUACUGGGCGUAAAGAGCGCGCAGGCGGUCGAUCAAGUCGCGUGUGAAAGCCCCCGGCUCAACUGGGGAGGGUCACGCGAUACUGAUCGACUCGAAGGCAGGAGAGGGUAGUGGAAUUCCCGGUGUAGUGGUGAAAUGCGUAGAUAUCGGGAGGAACACCAGUGGCGAAGGCGGUUAGCUGGGCAGUUGCUGACACUGAGGCGCGACGAGCGUGGGGAGCAAACAGG